GCCGCAAGGUUAAAACUCAAAUGAAUUGACGGGGGCCCGCACAAGCGGUGGAGCAUGUGGUUUAAUUCGAUGCAACGCGAAGAACCUUACCUGGUCUUGACAUCCACAGAACUUUCCAGAGAUGGAUUGGUGCCUUCGGGAACUGUGAGACAGGUGCUGCAUGGCUGUCGUCAGCUCGUGUUGUGAAAUGUUGGGUUAAGUCCCGCAACGAGCGCAACCCUUAUCCUUUGUUGCCAGCGGUCCGGCCGGGAACUCAAAGGAGACUGCCAGUGAUAAACUGGAGGAAGGUGGGGAUGACGUCAAGUCAUCAUGGCCCUUACGACCAGGGCUACACACGUGCUACAAUGGCGCAUACAAAGAGAAGCGACCUCGCGAGAGCAAGCGGACCUCAUAAAGUGCGUCGUAGUCCGGAUUGGAGUCUGCAACUCGACUCCAUGAAGUCGGAAUCGCUAGUAAUCGUGGAUCAGAAUGCCACGGUGAAUACGUUCCCGGGCCUUGUACACACCGCCCGUCACACCAUGGGAGUGGGUUGCAAAAGAAGUAGGUAGCUUAACCUUCGGGAGGGCGCUUACCACUUUGUGAUUCAUGACUGGGGUGAAGUCGUAACAAGGUAACCGUAGGGGAACCUGCGGUUGGAUCACCUCCUUA
rnacentral:rRNA from 1 species